AGCUGGUGCUGGAGAUGAUGAUGAUGAUGAGGACACGGAGUGAUUUCUUCGUCGAGCUUAGUCUUUUUCUUUCACUGCAUUUGAUGUUUAGGACGAUGUUUUAGAUUUCCUUGCUUAUCUUUCUGUAGUAUGUUUUUCCUUUCGUUUUAGGCCUGUAGCUCUGACUAAACUACUCUCAUGUUUUUCUAGUAUGUUUUCUCUUUCUAUUUGCUUUCUUUUGGCAAUUUUUGACAAAAAGGGGGAGAGCGUAGAUGAAGGGGGAGAGCAGAGAGCAUGGAUGAGCAGGCUUAGGCUUUGACACUGAAGCAGGGGAUGAUAAGUUCAAGAACAAAGGGAGAAAUGUGAACAAAGGGGGAGAAGGUAUAAGAAUUUAGUGCUAAUCAUUUUUGAAUGAAGUGUUUUACAGGAAAUCAAGACUUCAAGACUCCUAGUUACGUCUAAGUCAUAGAG
rnacentral:lncRNA from 1 species